rnacentral:rRNA from 1 species
UACGGGGGGGGCAAGCGUUGUUCGGAAUUACUGGGCGUAAAGGGCUCGUAGGCGGCCAACUAAGUCAGACGUGAAAAUCCCUCGGCUUAACCGGGGAACUGCGUCUGAUACUGGAUGGCUUGAGUUUGGGAGAGGGAUGCGGAAUUCCAGGUGUAGCGGUGAAAUGCGUAGAUAUCUGGAGGAACACCGGUGGCGAAGGCGGCAUCCUGGACCAACACUGACGCUGAGGAGCGAAAGCCAGGGGAGCAAACGGG